GAAACGCAGGGAACCGAGAGGGAGAGGCGGCAUGUGGACAGGCCGGGCCUCAUUUGCCUAAUGCAAUGCGGCUGAACUCUCGCUGAACUCGCCUGGCGGCGCCUCACCUCCGAGUGACCCACCCACCGCUGCCCGUGACAUCACCCGCUCGCCAGCCCGCCCGCGGGGCUCGCCCGCCAGCCCCCUGCCCGGCCGAACCGGGCCACCUCCCCCGGAGACGCGGAGAGCGGCGGCAGGAGGCGUAGGGCCGGGUCGCGCGGGGCCAAGUGUUUGGCACCCGGGUGUGACAUUGUGCAGCUCGGACGCUGUGUCGGAAUGAGACACCGGCUUGUGUCAUUGUCUGUGACAUCAUGUGUGACUCCGGCCGCCGGAACCCGACGCGGCAGCGCGGGUGCUGUUGGCACAAACACAGGCAGAGGGGGCCCUCCUCCCCACGCUCUGCGUGCUUCCGGCGAGCAAAGCCCCGCCCAAGGUGUCUCCUAGCUGGGGAACCAGUACCGGCCCCUGGUGCACUGUCCAGCUCUGGAGAGAUAAAAGGAAGAGCUGGUGCCUUCCAGUGGACUACUUCAUCCUAGAAGCCCUCGGGAUGCACGUUUCACUGGAAGAAAGGCCUAGCUUGGGUAGGUCCCUAGAAAGAGGGGAUACCCCUGGAGGAGGGGGUAUCCUAUUACCCCCACUCUCUAAAAGGAAGGAUGGAAAUGUACAUGCUACCCAAGGACAUUCUUCUAGAAGAAGCCUGGCUCUUUAUAUAUGUUGUCAUUUUAUCCUCACAGCAACUCCAAGAGAUGUUUUACAAAUAAAACAGGUCUCAGCAAGGCUAUGUGGGUUGUCCAAGAUCACAUUACUAAUAAUAAAGAGUAGAGCAGGUAUUUGAACUUCCUGCUGCCAAAGCCCAUGUUCUUACCAAGCUAGGCCAAUUCAAGGUAUUUUUCUGAGCACCUUCUAUGUGGACACCCUGGGGAACCUGCCCUUGUAGACCUUAGGGAGCAACAGCCAUUAAGCAAAUAAUCACUGUAUGCACACACAAUUGCAAACUGAGAUAAAUGCUAUUAUGCUCUGAAGAAUUAACAUAGGUACCUAAUUUAGGUUUAACUAAAUUAGGGAAGAACUCAAAUAAAACAGACCUACCAUAAGAGAAAGUUUGUAAGUUAAUCAGGCAAAGAGUAGAAAGGAGUGUAGUUCCAGUUAAAGGGCGAGUCUGUGCAAAGGCCCUGGGGUUACAGCAGUUGAUGAGUUCAUUGAAGGAACUGGCAGAAGGCUAGAAUCAUGGGGCACAAAAUUCAAAAGGAAAAGGUACACAAGACCAGGCUAGAGAGGUGGGCUCAGGCCAGACCAGGGGGGCUUAUAGGCCUCAGUAAGGCUUUUGGAUUUUAUCCUAAAUGCAAGGAAAAGCCAUAGAAAGGUUCCAAGCAAAGGAAAGAUCAGAUUUACAGUGUAAAAAGAUCUUUCCAGUAGUUGUGUGAAGAAUGGAUUAUAGGAGGGCAAGAGAGACCAGGUAAAAGCUACUGCAGCAGUCCAGGCAUCAGACAAGGGUGGCUUGGCCUAGGAAACUGGAAGUGCUGAUGGACAGAGGAAGGUGGAUUCAAUAAACAUUUUAAAGGUACAAAUAACGUGGGGGGGUGGGGGUAAGGGGUAUGGGAAAAGAGGUAGCAAAGAGACUUGUGUGUGACUUACGCAUCAGUGAAGUUCCUGAGACUGCAAAGCAGAGAAGUCCACUGGGCUGCUGGACAGGUGGAUGUGGGGCCCUGAAGUGCAGUCAGGGCUACAGAUGGAAUGCUGGGGUCUGGGGGCAGGUAUGCAAAUCUUGACAGUGGAUGAGACUAAUGGCGAAGAGGACAGAGUGCUUCCAUGCCUUCGGGAUCUUUCAAAUGAUGGAGCAAGGCUCUGCGCUCACAGCUGCAAGGCGCUAAGGGACCUGAGACUCUGUCCCUGCCAUCAAAGACCUUGUGGUCAGGAAAAGAUGUCCCAAAUGGUUACAGCUCAUGGCAGGAACAGGGGAGAAGCAACUUCUGGGUAGCGAGAUGAGUGUUGUUAAAAAAUAAAUAAGGACCCACAGGCAUUCUAAGUAGGGAGGCAGAGUGUGGCAAGCAAGGGGGAACAUCUGUGAAGAUUUCUGGGAAGAGGCGGCAUUCAAGAUGUUCCUUGAAGGAUAGAUAGGAUUUCCGGAGCUGGAGAGGAGAAGCUAGGGCAAGAGGCCCGUUCUGGGCAACAGCAAGGUCAUGGGGCAGGUCAGAGCAGAACACAGUGUCCUGGGGCAGUGGGAGAAGUGGGAAACAAGGAAGGCUCUGGCCCGCAGCUGGGGCUGGGGGGCCUCCAGCGGCAGCUGUCUGCAGGCCUGGGGCCCCAUCCUGCUCAGCCUUAUCCCUCCCUCAGCUCCUUCUCAGGGCUUUGCGUUUAGUAAGCCCUCAGCAGGUGCAGGCCAAACUGGCCCCCACUUGUGCCAGGCAGGGCCCCCUCCUGUCCCCAACCCCAUCUGGAGGGGACAACAAACAGGAAAUCAUGAGGCCCAGUGCCAGGUGGACACUGGCUCCCAGUAUAGAGUGGCACCAUCCCCCAAGACAGUACCCAGCUCUACCCUGCCCCUCACUAUCACAGCCUUGCUGGGUACGUGAAACUCACCAAGGGCCUCAGCAGGAAGCAGGCGACCGUGGCCUAACGGCAACUCGCCCAGCCAAGGAGAGAUUAGAAGUUUUGCUCUAUUUUUUUAUUUUUAUUUAUUUAUUUGAGACAGAGUCUCGUUCUGUCACCCAGGCUAGAGUGCAGUGGUGUGAUCUCAGCCCACUGCAGCCUCCACCUCCCGGAUUCAAGCAAUUCUCAUGCCUCAGCCUCCCAAGUAGCUGGGAUUACAGGUGUGCACCAGCAUGCCCAGCUAAUUUUGGUAUAUUCUGUAGAGAUGGGGUUUCGCUAUUUCGCUAUCUUGCCAAGGCUGGUCUUGAACUCCUGAGCUCAAGC
rnacentral:lncRNA from 1 species